rfam:Myotis brandtii contig278170, whole genome shotgun sequence.
CGUGCACCAGUGGGGUCCCUCAGCCUGGCCUGCAGGAUUGAGCUGAACCCGGCUCUCCAAUAUCCCCCAAGGGGUUCUGGGUUGCCAGAGAGUGCAGGCCAGGCUGAGGGACCCCACAGGUGCACG